rnacentral:rRNA from 1 species
UACAGAGGGGGCGAGCGUUGUUCGGAAUUACUGGGCGUAAAGGGCGCGUAGGCGGCCUUCUAAGUCGAACGUGAAAUCCCCGGGCUCAACCCGGGAACUGCGUCCGAUACUGGGAGGCUUGAAUCCGGGAGAGGGAUGUGGAAUUCCAGGUGUAGCGGUGAAAUGCGUAGAUAUCUGGAGGAACACCGAUGGCGAAGGCAGGUCUCUGGGCCGAUACUGACGCUGAGGAGCGAAAGCGUGGGGAGCGAACAGG